rnacentral:snRNA from 1 species
GUUGUAGCUUAGCCUUUUGGCUAAGAUCAAGUGUAGCAUCUGUUCUUAUCAGUUUAAUAUCUGAUACGUCCUCGAUGAGAGGACUUUAUAUUAAAUGGAUUUUUGGAUUUGGGAGUUGGACCUGGAGCUUGCUCCCAAACACUUAAAUUUUAAUUACCCUGCCCAUGGCAGGGGGGGUGGAACUAGAUGAUCUUUC